AGAAUCAACGCUGGCGGCGUGCCUAACACAUGCAAGUCGAACGAGAAAGUGGAGCAAUCCAUGAGUAAAGUGGCGCACGGGUGAGUAACACGUGACUAACCUACCCUUGAGUGGGGGAUAACCUAGGGAAACCUGGGCUAAUACCGCAUAAUACCUUCGGGUCAAAGGAGCAAUUCGCUUAAGGAGGGGGUCGCGGCAGAUUAGUUAGUUGGCGGGGUAAUGGCCCACCAAGACUGUGAUCGGUA
rnacentral:rRNA from 1 species